AUUGAACGCUGGCGGCAGGCCUAACACAUGCAAGUCGAGCGGAUGAAGGGAGCUUGCUCCUGGAUUCAGCGGCGGACGGGUGAGUAAUGCCUAGGAAUCUGCCUGGUAGUGGGGGGUAACGUCCGGAAACGGGCGCUAAUACCGCAUACGUCCUGAGGGAGAAAGUGGGGGAUCUUCGGACCUCACGCUAUCAGAUGAGCCUAGGUCGGAUUAGCUAGUUGGUGGGGUAAAGGCCUACCAAGGCGACGAUCCGUAACUGGUCUGAGAGGAUGAUCAGUCACACUGGAACUGAGACACGGUCCAGACUCCUACGGGAGGCAGCAGUGGGGAAUAUUGGACAAUGGGCGAAAGCCUGAUCCAGCCAUGCCGCGUGUGUGGAGAAGGUCUUCGGAUUGUAAAGCACUUUAAGUUGGGAGGAAGGGCAGUAAGUUAAUACCUUGCUGUUUUGACGUUACCAACAGAAUAAGCACCGGCUAACUUCGUG
rnacentral:rRNA from 1 species